GAGCAUAGCUCAGCUGGUUAGAGCACUUGCCUUACAAGCAAGGGGUCACAGGUUCGAGCCCUGUUGUUCCC
rnacentral:tRNA from 1 species